GGAUCAAUUUAUCGGUCGUGCCUCUGGUAUGCACUGGUAUUAUUGAUUUCUACCUUCUGACGAACCAUGAUGUCAUUAAUUUGGCGUCAUGGGGAAUCAGGACUGUUACUUUGAAAAAAUUAGAGUGUUUAAAGCAGGCUAACGCUUGAAUACAUUAGCAUGGAAUAAUGAAAUAGGACGAUCGAUCCUAUUUUGUUGGUUUCUAGGAUUGACGUAAUGAUUAAUAGGGAUAGUUGGGC
rnacentral:rRNA from 1 species